AACGCUGGCGGCAGGCUUACACAUGCAAGUCGAGCGCCGUAGCAAUACGGAGCGGCAGACGGGAGAGUAACACGUGGGAACGUACCUUUCGGUUCGGAAUAACUCAGGGAAACUUGAGCUAAUACCGGAUACGCCCGCAAGGGGAAAGAUUUAUUGCCGAAAGAUCGGCCCGCGUCCGAUUAGCUAGUUGGUGGGGUAACGGCCCACCAAGGCGACGAUCGGUAGCUGGUCUGAGAGGAUGAUCAGCCUCACUGGGACUGAGACACGGCCCAGACUCCUACGGGAGGCAGCAGUGGGGAAUAUUGGACAAUGGGCGCAAGCCUGAUCCAGCCAUGCCGCGUGGGUGAUGAAGGCCUUAGGGUUGUAAAGCCCUUUCGGCGGGGAAGAUAAUGACGGUACCCGCAGAAGAAGCCCCGGCUAACUUCGUGCCAGCAGCCGCGGUAAUACGAAGGGGGCUAGCGUUGCUCGGAAUCACUGGGCGUAAAGCGCACGUAGGCGGGUCUUUAAGU
rnacentral:rRNA from 1 species